UACGCGAAGAACCUUACCUAGGGCUUGACAUGCAGAUGACAGUAUCAGAGAUGAUACCUUCCCUCGGGACAUCUGCACAGGUGCUGCAUGGCUGUCGUCAGCUCGUGCCGUGAGGUGUUGGGUUAAGUCCCGCAACGAGCGCAACCCUUAUCAUUAGUUGCCAACAGUUCGGCUGGGGAAUCUAAUGAGACUGCCUGGGUUAACCAGGAGGAAGGUGAGGAUGACGUCAAGUCCGCAUGGCCCUUAUGUCUAGGGCUACACACGUGCUACAAUGGCCGGUACAGACGGAAGCAAAACCGCGAGGUGGAGCGAAUCCUAAAAAGCCGGUCUCAGUUCGGAUUGUAGUCUGCAACUCGACUACAUGAAGUUGGAAUUGCUAGUAAUGGCGUGUCAGCAACAACGCCGUGAAUACGUUCCCGGGUCUUGUACACACCG
rnacentral:rRNA from 1 species